rnacentral:rRNA from 1 species
GACGAACGCUGGCGGCGUGCUUAACACAUGCAAGUCGAACGGAAAGGCCCCUUUGGGGGUACUCGAGUGGCGAACGGGUGCGUAACACGUGAGUAACCUGCCCUUGCCUUCGGGAUAACUUCAGGAAACUGGGGCUAAUACCGGAUAGGAAUCCUUUCUUCAUGGUGGGGGUUGGAAAGCUUCGGCGGUUUUGGAUGGACUCGCGGCUUAUCAGCUUGUUGGUGGGGUAGUGGCUUACCAAGGCUUUGACGGGUAGCCGGCCUGAGAGGGCGACCGGCCACAUUGGGACUGAGAUACGGCCCAGACUCCUACGGGAGGCAGCAGUGGGGAAUAUUGCACAAUGGGCGGAAGCCUGAUGCAGCAACGCCGCGGGCGGGAUGACGGCCUUCGGGUUGGAAACCGCUUUCAGCAGGGGCGAAGCUUGUGGUGACGGUACCUGCAGAAGAAGCACCGGCUAACUACGUG